AGAGAGAUGUUGAUAUGUGUCAUUUGAAGUGAGGAUUAGAGGGACUUGAACCAUUCAUAGCUUGUUCGGUUAUGUCUGGAUCGAAGAGGGUUGGAAGGUCCUUUCUAGUUAAAAUUAAAUAGAAAGAGAUUGAAUCCCUUUAACCUCCUAUCCAGAUGUGACCAAACAAACUCUCAUUGGGAGUAAAAGGGGUUCAGUUUCCUCUAAUAUCUCAUCUUAAAUGGCCCAUCAUCUCCU